rnacentral:misc_RNA from 1 species
GAUGAAGAACGCAGUGAAAUGCGAUAAGUAAUGUGAAUUGCAGAAUUCAGUGAAUCAUCGAAUCUUUGAACGCACCUUGCGCCCUUUGGCUAUUCUGAAGGGCAUGCCUGUUUGAGUAUCAUGAACACCUCAACUCUCAUGGUUUGCCAUGAUGAGCUUGGACUUUGGGGGUCUUGCUGGCCUACGGUCAGCUCCUCUCAAAUGAAUCAGCUUGCCAGUGUUUGGUAGAGUCGCAGGUGUGAUAACUAUCUACGCUUGUGGUUUUCUGCCAGAUAACCUUCAGUGAUGGAGGUUCGCUGGAGCUUAUAAAUGUCUCUCCCCAGUGAGGACAGCUUUUUGAACGUUUGAUCUCAAAUCAGGUAGGACUACCCGCUGAACUUAAGCAUAUCAAUAAGCGGAGGA